rnacentral:misc_RNA from 1 species
AAGUCGUAACAAGGUUUCCGUAGGUGAACCUGCGGAAGGAUCAUUAAGAAUUGAUAAUAUUUGUGAAAUUUACACAGCAAACAAUAAUUUUAUAGUCAAAACAAAAAUAAUCAAAACUUUUAACAAUGGAUCUCUUGGUUCUC